rnacentral:rRNA from 1 species
GUAGGUGGCAAGCGUUGUCCGGAAUUAUUGGGCGUAAAGCGCGCGCAGGCGGUUCUUUAAGUCUGAUGUGAAAGCCCACGGGCUCAACCGUGGAGGGUCAUUGGAAACUGGAGAACUUGAGUACAGAAGAGGAAAGCGGAAUUCCACGUGUAGCGGUGAAAUGCGUAGAGAUGUGGAGGAACACCAGUGGCGAAGGCGGCUUUCUGGUCUGUAACUGACGCUGAGGCGCGAAAGCGUGGGGAGCAAACAGGAUUAGAUACCCUGGUAGUCCACGCCGUAAACGAUGAGUGCUAAGUGUUAGGGGGUUUCCGCCCCUUAGUGCUGCAGCUAACGCAUUAAGCACUCCGCCUGGGGAGUACGACCGCAAAGGUUG